UUUUCACUACUCUUCUGAACAUUGUGCCUGAAUUUUUUAUCCUCUUUUUUCCGUUUGCUUUACAUGUACACAACCUGAAAUUUCAAAAUUCGAAUUUUGAAUUCAAAAUCAAAAUUAAAAAAAAAGGGAAUUCUAUCCAUUCUUUGUUUUCACUUUUAUCUCUUCCUCCUCUUCUUCGAUUCUUCUCCUUCAUCUUUUUCACCUUCAGUUCCUCUUCUUUUUUUUUGUCCUCAGUUCACUGAUUCUGUUUUUGUAUAAUCUUCUUAAUUUAAGUUGGAGGUGGAGAUUAUAGAGUUCAUGUACGCACCAAGGAAGAGUUACGGCGGUGGAUGAGGUUGCAACCGCUAUGGUUGUGGAUCAUAAUAUGGCGGUGGUGUUGUAGUAGGGGCGGUGGAGUUUGUGAUGGUCAUCCAUGAUGUGAUGAUGGAUACGGAGGAGGCAGCGGCGGAAGAGAGCAAAUCGAUGGAAAGUACUGAGUCGCGCCGCCACAUAGAACACAUGCAGUGACGCUAUGAAAGAGAGCACAACAGGAAGCAGAGGAAAGAAGUAGAGACACGAAAGGGAGGAGCGAGAGAUGCAUACUGGAGUCGACAACAAUGGGCAUGCAAUUUGGUGCGGCUGAGAUGAUUCCGAUGGCGAUAGAUGCCACGGAAGAUAAGUCACAGUUGCAGCGCCGGAAGCGGCCAGCAACGGUCUUGGUGCGAUGAUUCUGUAUGCUCUGCUUAAGUGCUUAUAGGCGUCUUUGUCUGGUGUGGAGCUGUUAAUGCAAAAAAUCCAGAACCUCAUUGUUGUUGCCGGGAUUCUAUUUGUAUUUUGCUUAAAUUUCAUUAACCUCUUUCCCUCUUAUAUUCAAUUUACAUCCAAUAUACAAAACUAAAUCAGAUUUCAAAGUAAUGAAGCAUGAAUUAUUCAUUUUUCCUUUAGUAUUUGAAGUCCUGGCUUUUGUAUUUUCAGAGUAAUUUAGGAACUAAGGCAAAAGAAGUUCUUCCUGUGUAGCUAUUGUGGAAGGUUUGCAUCCACCCACUCUAUUGUGUCUUUAUUAGUUCUCUUUUUGUUCAAUUGCUUAAAUUUGUUCUUUGCUUUUCCUUAUUAUUAUUCUACUGCUUAUUAUUACCUUAUCCCUCCUCCUUCCUCUCAAGUUUGGCUAUGUUCUUCACUCUUCAGGGAGGUAGUUUCAAUUCUCGAUUUUUGGGUCAUUUCCUCUUCCUCUUCAGUCCGUUUCUCGGUUCACUGAUACUAUUUUCCAAUUUCUUUUUGUUCCUAAUCUCCCCUGAAGGUGGAGAUUAUAGAGUUUGAAGGCAGUUGAUGUCACUGUACCCGAUGGCUCCAACCUUCAGCGAAGUCGUCGCGGUGGAAGGGAUGGCAGCGGUGGUGGUAAAGGUUACAAAGGUAGAAGCGGUGGCGACGGCAGCCAUGUUGGUGGAGGAGUCUAAGGCAGCAUGGCUCUGACUGGUCGCCGUGGAGUUUAUCACAGUGGUGAAUAAGGGGGAGGAUGUGAUGACAGUCGUGCAUGCUAAAGCACAUUGUGGAAUGGGUCAAGGUAAGCAACCAGGGAGGAGGCAGAUGCAGAGGCAGGUUCCGCGGCGGCGUUUGUGCCGGCGGCAGAUGCUACAACCAUAGGCAUCUGUGGGCAUUUUGCAACAGGCUGCCCAACGUUAAUCGCGCAUACCCUUCCAGUUUCACUUAAUAACGUUGGAGGUGUAUUCGUGGGAGCCUGUUCUGUAUUAAUGGAAAACUUUUGGGAUGCUCAUAGUACUGAAACUCUGUUGGAGUCAGAUAUAUCGGUUGAAAGCAAUCUUUUCUGAUUGGAAUUGUCCACGAUUCCUUUAAAAGAAGAGGUUAGUUUAGUAAUUUUAUAUCUGGUGGGUUCCAAGUUUGGUAGUUUUGAUGGAAUUAUUGAUGCUCUUAAUGCUUCGUUGCAAAGGCUUAGGAUUUAGAAUUUUCUGGAUAGAAAUGUAAUUUAGAAUUGCAUAUCAAUUCUCCUAUUAAUUCUGUAUAAUUUAUCAGACCAGACUAUUAUUUUAUUUGUAUUUACUUGAUAGAAAAAUACAAAUCUUUCCUAAAAAAGUUUCAGUAUAUAUGUUACUCUAUCAUAGUUGUACCAAUAAGAUGUGGGCUGGGAGGAUGAUUUUCUCGCUUUCUCACUCAUCAGUUAGUGUUUGUGAUAGCUUUAUGGUUCGUAAUGCUUUUUUGUGUAUAACUGCUUUUGUAUGCACAAUGACCACCUCACUUCUGCUUCAAAACAGUUGUUCCAUUUGUUCUUAUAAGCUUCAAAAGAGCCAAAGAUAAUCAUCAAUUGUUGAUACAAAGUUACUCACCUGAAGCUGCUUUUUACAUAGAUACUAGCACUUAGUUUUAUUUAAUCUUUCUUUUUUUGGGUAAAUAAAAUGAAAUUAAUAUUAUUAUUGUUAUUGUAAGUACUAUCUUAUGAUUCAUGUCUUUUAGUUUUAUAUAAUGUGUUUAAUAUCCCAGCAACAGGGAUUGAAGACCAAAUGCGUUAGAUGAAUCUGAAAUUUUUACAAGGGUAUACCAUAUUUGAAGCUUGCUAAUGAGGGGUUUGUUUGCUAUUGGUAAUGGAAGCAAGAAGUUAAGGAAUCUAAUACUAAGUCACAAGGGUUUGGAAGCAAUUGCUACCGGAUGCAAGGAACUUACACAUCUUGAAGUCAAUGGAUGUCACAACAUUCGAGAUUUGGGGCUAGAAUCCAUUGGAAGAUCUUGCAAGAUGGAGAAGGAUGCAAGUUCCUACAAACUCUUCAACAGGUAGUUUUCUCAAACCUUGGAGAUAGUGCUAUAUGUGGUAUACCUAUUGGCUGUAGGAAUUUAAAGAAACUUCAGAUCCAUUGCUAUUAUGAGGUACUUCAUUUGCAUGACUAUUUGGUUUACCAUGUUAAACUUCAUUUAAAAACGAAUAUUUUUGGGAUGGCUCACUUUCAAAAUACUCUCUGUAAUGUAAUAUAGGAGAAUGACUGUAACUCAUUUUGUCUCAACACACAAUUUUACCAAUUUUUCCUUUAUCUAAAUGGCUUCUUUUGGUGAUUCCACAUUCAAAACUAAUGUUAGUCAAUAAAAUCCGAAAACCAUGAGAGUUUGAGACCGGUGAGCUACAUGAAAAUGAAUGUCAAAAUGCAGUAUUUAACUUGGUUACAGAAAUUUAUUCACUCCUAUGCAUAGUCUACUACUCUCUUUUGAUCUGUUUCAUCGUCCAAUACCGCAUUCCCAUUCUGCACACGCAUAAAGGCGUUACGUUUUCUAUAUGCUAUGCUGUCUAUGCAGUUUUGGCAAAAAUUUGAAAACGUUGCUGAAGUUGAAACAUAUUUUUUAGUAUGUUACUCAUUUUUAUUGAGCUUGAAGAUUAAAAGUGUUUCAUCCAAAUACAGUUUUAGCAUUAGUCUUAGGCUGUUAGCCUUUUCUCUUAUCUUUUAAUUCAGUUUUUUCCCAAUUUUUGAAAGGUGCAGAUGAUUUUGCCACAAGUUGAGGUUAUUACUGCUUGAUUUUGAUGGCUGAUUAUAUAGUUUUAUUGCAUCAGGUAUCAUUUGUUAUAUGUUAUUACUUUCUCAUGUUAUAUUCCGACCAAACUUUAUGAAAGUAUCUUUUUCUUCCCAAAAGAUUAAUUCUUUGUUGUUAAUAGUGUAUUUUUCGUUGAUCUCUCUUGAAUCCGCUUUGUUGCUUUUUAUCUGUUCUGAAUCUGCUAUAGCAUAUAGUUUUUUCAAUUUGUUCUCAAUUUAGCUUAUAUGUUUGUUACAUGUCUUUAGUUGCAACAACCAUGAGCUAACAUAUGAUUCAGGCAUUCAUGUAUCCAUUUUCUAAAUUUGAUAUUUUGAUUUCUUUUGCUUUUUCAAGAUUUAUUGCAAUUUGAAUGGUAUUUUAUAACAUUGUUGGUUCUAACCUUUUUCUUUUUCU